rnacentral:tRNA from 1 species
GCCCUGAUGGUUCAGUGGUAGAACGCAUUCUUGGUAAGAAUGAGGUCGAGGGUUCGAUUCCCUCUCAGGGCU